rnacentral:rRNA from 1 species
CAGCAGCCGCCGCGGUAAUACGUAGGGGGCAAGCGUUAUCCGGAAUUACUGGGUGUAAAGGGAGCGUAGACGGUUAAACAAGUCUGAAGUGAAAUGCCGGGGCUCAACCCCGGAGCUGCUUUGGGAACUGUAGAACUGGAGUGUCGGAGGGGUAAGCGGAAUUCCCAGUGUAGCGGUGAAAUGCGUAGAUAUUGGGAGGAACACCGGCGGCGAGGGCGGCUUACUGGACGACAACUGACGUUGAGGCUCGAAGGCGUGGGUAGCAAACAGGAUUAGAUACCCCUGUAGUCCCUGUCUCUUAUAC